rnacentral:rRNA from 1 species
AGUGAACGCUGGCGGUAGGCCUAACACAUGCAAGUCGAACGGCAGCACAGUAAGAGCUUGCUCUUACGGGUGGCGAGUGGCGGACGGGUGGGGAAUACAUCGGAAUCUACUUUUUCGUGGGGGAUAACGUAGGGAAACUUACGCUAACACCGCAUACGACCUACGGGUGAAAGCAGGGGAUCUUCGGACCUUGCGCGAUUGAAUGAGCCGAUGUCGGAUUAGCUAGUUGGCGGGGUAAAGGCCCACCAAGGCGACGAUCCGUAGCUGGUCUGAGAGGAUGAUCAGCCACACUGGAACUGAGACACGGUCCAGACUCCUACGGGAGGCAGCAGUGGGGAAUAUUGGACAAUGGGCGCAAGCCUGAUCCAGCCAUACCGCGUGGGUGAAGAAGGCCUUCGGGUUGUAAAGCCCUUUUGUUGGGAAAGAAAAGCAGCAGGUUAAUACCCCGCUGUUCUGACGGUACCCAAAGAAUAAGCACCGGCUAACUUCGUG